ensembl:lncRNA
UUUUUUUUUUUUUUUAGUAACAAUAUUUUAGAGGCCCAGUGACCAUGAAUCAGAAAUGAGUAAACACGAAUGAGUAAAUCCCCUGUAAGGCAGACACAGCAUUUCUGAAAGGAAAUCCUCUAAGGUGGAACAAAAUGGCAGGGAUACCUUGUAUACAAAAGAGCCCUUUUCACAUCUUGGGAUGCUGCUUGGUGUGUUGUGUUUGGCUGUAGCAUAUGAAGAAAUUGCAGCUUCAGAGCUUAUUCCAGGCUCCUCCCAAACAGCUCAGAGUCACCCUCAUGCCUGCAGGGAUGAAGAAUUUAAGUGCUUGUUUAAAAUUAAACAAUACCCCUCCAUGUAUGUGAGCUACACUAGACAGACACAUGGACUGGCAUGACAGCCAUGGGAAGGAGAAAGUUUUCCAAAUCUGAUUAAGUUGACUGUUUUUUAGUAAGAAAGGAACAUUCAGUUUUUGGAAUAUUCUGUACUCUAUUCUUUGAAUUAGUUCCAACUGUGGAAGGGACUUUUGUAUUGAAGUGAUACCUACUGAGGACAAACUGAGGGUAUUAGAACAGUUUGAGUAAUCCAUUGAGCUGGCAUAAUUUGGUAAUAAUUUUCUGUCACUCCUAUUUUGUGUUGGAUCUGAAUCAGAACUGCAUAAUCAAUUUCUCUGUAACCCAUUAUCUAAUCCACUUCCUUCUAAGAAUCCUAUUUUAUUAAAUAAAUGGUGAUUGAUAUUAGAUGCAGGUGUGGUAAGUCCCUGUCUUUUGUUUUUUCAGCAGUCUGAGAUUUUGAUGUACCCCUGCAGGGUGAAUGAAUGGUUUCCUAAUCUGUGUAGUUUUUUAGGGAGUGAAUUCAGUGUCUUCAAACCUGGGAGAAAUUUAGGCAGGGCUGGCUGCACUGAGCCCUGAAAUAAAUGCUUCUAAGGUAGUGCCCCUUUUAGCCUCAUGUUUGUUCCCCUCCCAUAUUUUCCUCAAUUUUCCAUAUUAUCUAAGCAGUCAAAAAUAUGUCUCAGCCUACGGUAGAGGAAUUCAAUGUGUUCUUUAAAAGAGGGCUUUGCUUUUAGCUGUUACCUUCAGGCCCUCCUUAAUACAAACCAGUGACAAUACUCAUUUGAAUUAUUAUGUGUUUUAUUGGAGGCAUUGUAACGAGGAUGUGCUGUUAAAGUUUGGAUAACAAUGUAUUUACCUGCCAGUGUUUUAAAUCAUAAGAGCACCUCUGCUGGCUUACAGUAUCUGGAUGCUCAGCAUCAGGAGCUGUGAUUUGGCUGCAACCCCAGCAUCCAGUAUAUGUUGCACCUUUAGCAUCCAAACUGGUAAAAUGGCAGGCAUACAAUUAACCGUGUACAAUUAACUACAGUUUCUUCUUUAUGUGCUGCUCCUGGCAAGUGUAUCAUUCUUCUCCUACCUCUGCAGUUUUAUACUUCAAGCUUUUCUUCCUCUUUCCAGCAUUUUCUUGUGCAGUCACUUCAAGUGGUGAUUUCUCAGUAUUAAUUGUUAUGUAUUUUCAUGGGUAUUAUAUUCUUCAUCCGUUACCUUGUUUUAAUAUAUGCAUUAAAAAGAUAAUAGACAUUUAUUUUUUUCUGACAUGAGGUGUGCUAUGUGCCAUACUAUUUUCCAUACAUUCAGGGAAUCCCCCUUCACUUUUGCCAAUCACAGCUCUUGAAACAUGGCUUGUAUAUCAAUUAUCAACCCAUACCCAUUUUAAAAUUCAUUUCUUCUUCUUCCUGCCUAUCAGAUAUUGAGAAAUGGUUGACUGUAAUUUCUCAAAGUUGCAAGAACUAGUCUAAGCUUGCCUUCUGAUCAAAUAAAGUCUUAAGACAUAAUGCUUUAUAACAGGCCAGACUAUGAUUAAACACUUGGAGUUUUAACUUGUGAAUACUUGACCAAAUAAAUGCCAUAAUCAACUGGAAUAGAUGGCAUGUGAUGAUUUGCUGCGUGUGAAAAUUGUUUUUUAUUACUUUCUUUCUUUCUUACCUUCUUUAUUUCUUACUUUCAUGACUCGAGUGUUCAUUUGCAAUCAGACAUAAUAUCUUUAAAAUUAUCAGUUAUUUGGGUUUUUUUAAAGAAAUUGUGGCUUUCUAGAGGGUUGUGUUUUGGGUCUUCAUGGGCAAUUAUGUUUCCACUGGUGGGCUGAGCAAAUAUUUUUGUAUCUUGCCUACUGUAACAUCACUCACAACUAGUUCCUGUUAAAAGUGUUUUGAAACUGUGGUAGAAAUCAUGCUUUUCUCCCUUUUUAAAGGAUCAUUGUUUUUGAAAGCUAGAGAAGCUUCUUUGUCUCCUAGUUUUUGGUCUCAAACAGAAUGCAUUUCUUUAGCUUUAAAAUGCGAAGUUUCUGUUUAACCAUGGAUUGUGAGGUCCCUUGUUUUCUACAUUCAUGUUUGAAGGAAUUCAUUUGAGGGUAAUUCCAAGUAAAAAAGAAAGUCUAUUGUAGCACACUGGAUGUCUGCAGGUGUUCUAAUUUCCUGCUGUAUCACUGUCUAGGAGAUUUCACCUUCAUGUGUAGGGAGUUCAUUCGGGCUAAUCAGGAUUGGCAACUCUGUGCAAAUGAGACUGUAAAUGAAGCUUGAAAGUGGAAAUUAUUUUAAAGAAAAUGUUUGGAUUAAAGAGGCUGUGUUAUAUUUAUCUUUGUAAUUUCCUCUUCCAGCUGAACACCCUUAACAAUUUCAUAUUUUCUUAUAUUAAAAGUUUUGAAAAUCAAAGAAAUUAAGGCAGAUCAUUAAUAUAAACUGUUGUUUUUUUUUCUGAGUAUCAGUCAUACUUAAUGCAUUCAGAAUUUAAUGGUAGUGUAUGAAGAAAUCAGUCCUAACAAACACGCUGAGAAAGAGACAAGUAAAUUGGUUUUCCUCCUUCAUUUUGAAAUGUUUUCUUGAGGACAGUGCUCUGCAGGAAAGGAGGUUAAAUUAUGGCUCCCAUUUAGGAAGCAGCUCUGUGUUUUAGGAGCAGCGAGAGAUGUUAUUAAAUGCCAUUUCUCCCUGAAGUCCUUCCUAAACUCCGUGGAGUUGGUUUGAAAACUGAUAGCGCUUUGCCCUUCAUGAGCAGCUAGCUUAUCUUUAUGUUCCUGGAGACUUGUGGAAUUUAUUAAAUCCUUUAAGGAAUAAAAAUGGCAUAUACUUUAUACGCACAGAUUUUUAUCUAUUUCCUUUUACUUUAUUGCUGUUCCAUGUGCACGCAAGGUCAGUGGUGUCUCUGGUGCUGCCUGUGCUGGCAGAGCUGUGCUGUUCUCACGAGCACUCCCAGUUCUCUUCCUUCAAGUUCCUACUUGACUAACAAAACGGUUGCGUUGCUCUUUUGCCCAGUUCCUAACAAUUCCCUGAGGAGCUGUUUUCACUUUCUGUAGAGCAUUUACAUUUUAUCUUUGUACGAGAGGAGUUUUGGCAUCAAUCUUUAUUUUUACUCUAAUGGGAUUGAUUUUGGAGUUACCUACACAACCAUUCCCACAUUCCUGCUUAAGUAUAAGCCUUCAGAAUACAUGGAACAAUAACCAUUACGUAUCAGAAGAUUAACUAGACUGGAGAACAAUAAAACUUAGUGAAGCAGGAAUCCUCAAUUGAUGUGGAAUAAUUUUUGAAGCUUACAUCAGUUUUGUGAGAGCUUUAAUUUUACAUCCCUAUACGUUUCAGAUUACUUGACAAUAGCAAGCUAAUAGCAGGGUGUACUUUUUCUACUUAGAGAAAGGAAUGGAACAAUUAAAAAAAAAUUAGUUUCUUGCUUGAGAGGCAGAAUGGUACUUGUUGUUUGAGACUUUCUAUGAGAAAAAGUUCAGUUUGCCCUCUGUUGAAGUUGUCAUUUCAGCAACCUGAACAAAGUGGUGGUGAAGAAUGUUUGCUUGUAAAGCCUUUUGGGGAGCUAAUGUAGUUUGCAAGUUUUCUUGUGACAUUUAACAUCAAUUGGUUAGGUUGUGGCUGUGUCACAAUCCAUAUUUAUGCAUCAGAGAUUGAUUUUCUUACCUUGGCUUGUGCCCCUUCUGUUCAAAUGGCUGCUGUAGAGUUAAAUGUGCUGUCUGUGUAAAUCUGUUUCCAUAUUGUGGAUAGCACUGAAUAUGUAUGUUCAUAUAGCAUAUGGUCAUGCUCUUCAAACAACAAAAAUCUAAAAACAAGGAAUUUCUAAAAUACAUAAGUGAGCACAGAUCUUUCUAGAGGACAGGAAUUUCUUGACAGUCAAAUAAUUUUACUGUUUUUUUCUUCUCAUUUUUUCUGGGCUUUCCCAGGCAUGUUUAAUGCGUGUGUGCAAUUCCAAAACAAUGGAAAGAAUAACAUUCUGGGAUGUCCUUUUGAACAAAAGAAAUGCAAACUGGAAUGCUGAAAUGAAGGCUGGAAUAGCUGGGAAAAAAGACAGUUGGUUAAGAGAUGUGUAAUUUUGAAGGUAUUAAUUCUUUGCAGCCUGAGCUGUCAUGUUUCAAACUGCUUCCUGCAGGAGAAUAUCAAAAGCUACCAAUUCAAAUUGUCAACACAGAGUAAACAGUCAAAAUAAAUUAAAAUUGCCCUCUGUGAUUCGUUGUCCCGAGGAAUUUGAAAGGAAGUGGUGUUAUUGAGAUAUGUUAUUUUCUCAGCAGGGAAAGCAAAUGUGCCUUCCUAAGACUUAUCUGUCACUUCCUAAAUACCUUAUUCAAAACCAUGCAUAUAUUUUCAUUUGUUUGUGAUAGGCAUAGAAGUGGGAAGUCCCCAUUCAUCCCUACUGCUCUCAACAUAGUAUCUAGCAAGGUUGACAGGUCUUGUAAUUUGUUUGCUGCUUCUAUUAUUUCAUUUCUUUUUCUUCAGUUCACAAAAGAGCUGUAUUCCAAUUCCUGUCACUUUUUGUGUGCUAAAUUCACUUCAAGUGAACCUACAUUUAAAUCUCAAAUCUUCUGCUCUGAAUUAAAAGGUGACUGCACUUGCAUGAAUAGAUUUUGAGGAUGAAAAUAAUAAGCUUCAGUAGCUUAAAAUUUCAUUACCUGAAUCUGUUAAUACAUACUAAUUCUAAGCACUCCAGUGCUGAUUUAAGAUCUUACUAGAAACCUUUGCAGAGAGAUUGCAGAAUGAGUGCAUGGGCACUAGGCACGUGGGAAAGUCUGGACGUUAAAUAAUUAUUCAGAUAAAAAAGCAAAAAGGCACUGGGGAGCCUGAAGACUCUUGCUUAAAGUGUGCCUGGGGUUGAAAAUUCAUUCUGACAGUCUAUGAUUGCUGCAAGCAUCCAAAUGACUUAAGAAACAGCUGCAGCUACUUUAUGGGGUGCAUUGCUCGAUGGAAGAUGCUCCAAGUAUGCAUUUGCAUUGCCUGGGAGUGUCACCCUGGCAGCAAAAACUUGAAUUAAGGGCUUUAAGUGUUGUGUUAUGUUAUGGGAGAGAGAGAGCAGAGGAGAAGAGGAAUUUAGAACUUUGACCAAAUACAGAAUUUAGGCUAAAACAUUGCCACUUAGCUCCCUGCCAUUUUCCUUGUUAAAAUUCAGUGAGAUGUAAAAGGAAGAGGAAUAAUUGGGUGAUGAGUGGCUGCAUGAAAAUUUCAAGGAGGAGUUUCUGUUUUGUGGCUCUGUGUCAAGAGCUUUCUUACUAUGUGACUGUUUCAUAAAAUGAGUGGAUUAGUGGUUGAAAAUGUGGGUAUAUUGAAGGUGACUACAGUAAACUGUCAUUAAAUGAGCAAGGUUGUUUACCCUGUGUGACUGCUCUGCCCCAAACACCAAAUCAUGUCAGGCUGUGGGCACCUCUUGAGCUACCAGUGGAGUAGCAGAGCCACUGCUAAAAAUCCCAAACUUGCCUUACAGGUUUCCUGGCACCUUUCAGCAGUAGAUGGAGGAAGAAUGUACCAGACUUGUUGAAACAGAGUGAUCUAUGAGUGCAUGGAAAAAAUUCUUCCAGCCAUACCACGACUGGAGAUAGGGUGUGUCCAGUGCAGUUUGGGAUGGGAAAGAUUGUUUCCUGGAGGCAAUCAUGGUCCUCCAGUGGCUGCCUCGCCCCAGAGCGAGCUCAGAGGCAUGUGUAGGAGGAGACCCAUUCAUCAUGGCCCAGAUGUGCUGUCAGAGCCUGCUCCUGUGUCUGGCUGUAUGGAUCUGCCUUGGAGUUGUGCUCCUUUAAUCCAUUCACACUCUGCCUGCAGAAUGCAGCUUGACAUCAUGGUGCCCUGCUUGGUUUUGCAAGCAGAGGAGCGAGGCAGUUUUUCAUCUUCCUUGUGCCUCAUUUCCGUGGCAAUAAUGAAUGAAUUCAGCAUUUUAAAGUUUGGAAAGAAUUUAGACCUAGCUGAACAUUCAUUUUGUAUUUUCUUAUUUGUGAUUCCUCCAAGGCACAAGUUUAUAAAAAUGAAUCAAGAGGUACAAAUUUCUCUAUCCGGUCACUAGUAAUGAAAUAUCAAACAACCUUUUAAUUGUUAGUAGACCAGACUUCCAGAAAUUUGUCUUAAUGUUUGGUUCCAUGUUUAAUAGAUGUUGGGGAAAAGAAAAAAA